ensembl:lncRNA
UCUUAUCUUUUCAAAACAAUUUAAUUGAGGCGAAUUUCAGAAGACAUUUCAAAACGGGUUGACCUUUUUAAAGCCUUUUUUUCCAUAGAUCUGGGAGAGGGGAGGGUGGAACACUUUGCCUGGCCCAGAUGUGUGUUUUGGGGGGAAAAAGAGUUGCGCUGGGAAAAUCUUGCCCAGCUGCAGUUUCAGGUCAAACCCCAACCAUCCCUGCCGACCAUUGUGUGUGGUGCUAUUGUUAUGCUGUGUACCAAGCCACACCUAGAGCUUUUCACUUAAGGUCAUAAUCUGGAAGAGGUCCUGAGUCACUGCUUUGCAGUAACAUCCUGCUGUUCUCACCAAGGACUGAAAAGGGCUUUGCAAACACAACCCAUUCAGCUAUCACAGCCCUGGCACAGGGACAGAGAAACCAUGGCAGAGAGGAGCUGCUGAAGUGUCUUGCUUUGUGGCGCACAGAAAGGAACGGCGGUGCUGGGCUACACCAGCCCCCGCUGCAAGCAUCACCCUGGACAGCUGCCUGCACAAUGGAGAAGACCCAAUGGAUGGCAAAGGCAUUGCCAACCAGAACUCGGCAGUGAGCCUUUCUCACAGUGAGAAAAAAUCAGCCUCCUUUGAAAGCAGACUGAAAAGAGGAACAGCAGAGCACACUCACAUAGGGAAACCCCAGCCAUCCCGUGAGGUAGCUUUCCAGCUGCUAUGAGCACAGAUAGGUAGCAUCAGAAUUAUCAAACUGAAUGAGCACAGAUGACCUUACUACUCCAGAAUCUAAUCAAGUGGGAAACUUCUUCCAACCUCCAGUCACAGAAUGAUUAGCUUAUGCUCCUAACUUCAAAGGUGACUACAGUUUGAAAUCCUAUCUAAUGUCACCAUGUUCAUUCUUAUUUAGAGAAAUGCCUGGUCCUUUUCUUCCCCCCAAAUGCUGCUAAAUUCCUGGCCUCAGCAAUAGCUUGUGGUAGGAAGUUCUUCAGGUUAAAUGCAUGUGGAUGUAAAAGUUUUCCUUUCAUCAGUUUCUAGUUAGUUGCCCUGUUCAUAUAUGAUGAGAUACUGACUAGCUACAGUUUUCUUCUUCUUAGUCUUUUUUUGGGAGGAAAUAUUUAUCCAUUAAAACAUUGGUUUGUUAGAUCAAAAGUGUUAUGGAUAAGGGUCAAUUCUGAUGAAUUUUGCAACUUGAAAACUUAUUUCAGGUUUUCAGAUUUCUCAAAACAUCUCACUUCCACAUUUCUAAAGGAAACAAAAAUGCUUUUCCAAUUUGAAAUAACUUGUUCCACUAUAUUGCGCUAAUCAUAGCACAAUUAAAACAAACAUUUAAAAUGGUCACAAUCAAAAUGAAAGUUUCAGCAUGAACCAAAUCAUUUUUUUUCAGUUGUUUGGAACUGAAUUGAGUUUUAUUUUGUUUCCAGGUUUCCAAUUAGCAAAAGUUAUUGAAAGUUUUAGUCCCAUUUAGGAUGGAAAAUAUAUCUGAGAUUCUGGACAUUUUUCUCAGGACUUAACCCCCCUUCCCCCCCAUUUCUUGCCCAGUUCUGUCUGUUCCCUUAUCAAUUAUUAGGUUGU